rnacentral:tRNA from 1 species
GAGGAUAUAGCUCAGUGGUAGAGUGCCUACUUAGCAUGCAUAAGGUCCUGGGUUCAAUCCCCAGUGCCUCCA